UACGUAGGGGGCUAGCGUUGUCCGGAAUCAUUGGGCGUAAAGAGCGCGUAGGCGGCCAGAUAAGUCCGGUGUGAAAGUCAAAGGCUCAACCUUUGAAUGCCGCUGGAAACUGUCUGGCUAGAGUCCGGAAGGGGCGAGUGGAAUUCCUGGUGUAGCGGUGAAAUGCGCAGAUAUCAGGAAGAACACCAAUGGCGAAGGCAGCUCUCUGGGACGGUACUGACGCUGAGACGCGAAAGCGUGGGGAGCGAACAGG
rnacentral:rRNA from 1 species